rnacentral:rRNA from 1 species
CCGUAGCCCAAGAGAUCGGGAUAACACCUGGAAACAGAUGCUAAUACCGGAUAAUAACAGAUGAUGCCUAUCAACUGUUUAAAAGAUGGUUCUGCUAUCACUCUUGGAUGGACCUGCGGUGCAUUAGCUAGUUGGUAGGGUAACGGCCUACCAAGGCGAUGAUGCAUAGCCGAGUUGAGAGACUGAUCGGCCACAUUGGGACUGAGACACGGCCCAAACUCCUACGGGAGGCAGCAGCG